rnacentral:rRNA from 1 species
CCUACGGGUGGCUGCAGUGGGGAAUAUUGCACAAUGGGCGCAAGCCUGAUGCAGCCAUGCCGCGUGUGUGAAGAAGGCCUUCGGGUUGUAAAGCACUUUCAGCGGGGAGGAAGGCGGUGAGGUUAAUAACCUCAUCGAUUGACGUUACCCGCAGAAGAAGCACCGGCUAACUCCGUGCCAGCAGCCGCGGUAAUACGGAGGGUGCAAGCGUUAAUCGGAAUUACUGGGCGUAAAGCGCACGCAGGCGGUCUGUCAAGUCGGAUGUGAAAUCCCCGGGCUCAACCUGGGAACUGCAUUCGAAACUGGCAGGCUAGAGUCUUGUAGAGGGGGGUAGAAUUCCAGGUGUAGUGGUGAAAUGCGUAGAGAUCUGGAGGAAUACCGGUGGCGAAGGCGGCCCCCUGGACAAAGACUGACGCUCAGGUGCGAAAGCGUGGGGAGCAAACAGGAUUAGAUACCCUUGUAGUC